UCAGGCCUAACACAUGCAAGUCGAACGACCUUCGGGUAAGUGGCAAACGGGUGAGUAAUGCAUAGGUAACUUGCUCUUAAGACUGGGAUAACGUUCCGAAAGGGACGCUAAUACCGGAUACGCUCCUUGUUACACAAGUAAUUUGGAGGAAAUGAAUUUCGCUUAAGAAGAGGCCUAUGUCUGAUUAGUUUGUUGGUGAGGUAAUGGCUCACCAAGACUACGAUCGGUAGCUGGUCUGAGAGGAUGAUCAGCCACACUGGGACUGAGACACGGCCCAGACUCCUACGGGAGGCAGCAGUGGGGAAUAUUGCGCAAUGGGCGAAAGCCUGACGCAGCGACGCCGCGUGAACGAUGACGCCUUUAGGGGUGUAAAGUUCUUUUAGUAGGGAAGAUUAUGACGGUACCUACAGAAAAAGCCACGGCUAAUUACGUGCCAGCAGCCGCGGUAAUACGUGAGUGGCAAGCGUUAUCCGGAUUUAUUGGGCAUAAAGAGCACGCAGGCGGUAGCCUAAGUCAGAUGUCAAAUUCCACAGCUCAACUGUGGCAUGCAUUUGAAACUGGGUUACUAGAGAUCAGGAGAGGGAAGUGGAACUCACGGUGUAGCGGUGAAAUGCGUAGAUAUCGUGAGGAACACCAGUGGCGAAGGCGACUUCCUGGACUGAAUCUGACGCUGAGGUGCGAAAGCGUGGGGAGCGAACGG
rnacentral:rRNA from 1 species